AAUUUUUUAAGGGCCGCGGUAUUAUGACCGUGCUAAGGUAGCAUAAUCAUUAGGUUUUUAAAUGAGAUCUUGUAUGAAUGGUUGAACAAAGAAAAAACUGUCUUUAAUAAUAAAAUUUGAAUUUUACUUUUAAGUGAGAAGGCUUAAAUAAUUUAAGGGGACGAUAAGACCCUAUAAAACGUUGUGUUGGGGCGACAAAAGUAGAAAUGGUAGCUGCUUGAAAAGGAAUCACUUUUAAGUGUAUAGAUCUUAAUUAUAAAUUUAAAGAUUAAGUUACUUUAGGGAUAACAGUGUAAUUUUUUUUGAGAGUUCAUAUCGAAAAAAAAGUUUGUAACCUCGAUGUUGAAUUAAGAUAUCUAUAUAAUGAAGUAGUUGUAUAAGAGGGUCUGUUCGACCUUUAAUUUUUU
rnacentral:rRNA from 1 species